UUGGUUAUGCUAAUAAGAGCGUAUGGUGGAUGCCUUGGCACUAAGAGCCGAUGAAAGACGUGAUAAGCUGCGAAAAGCUUCGGGGAGGAGCAAAUAUCCUGAGAUCCGGAGAUAUCUGAAUGGGGAAACCUACUUGAGAAGACCUCAAGUAUCCACAGCCCAAUCCAUAAGCUGUGGAAGGGAACCCGGUGAACUGAAACAUCUAAGUAGCCGGAGGAAGAGAAAACAACAUGUGAUUCCGUAAGUAGCGGCGAGCGAACGCGGAAGAGCCCAAACCGGAGUGCGUGCACUCCGGGGUUCGGACUGCAGGAUUGACGAGUGAGCCUAGUAGAAUGGUUUUGGGAAAGCCAGCCAGAGAGGGUGAAAGCCCCGUACACGAAAGGCAAGCGAGCAUGGCAGGAUCCAGAGUACCACGAGACACGUGAAACCUUGUGGGAAUGAGCGGGGACCACCCCGUAAGGCUAAAUACUCCUUAGUGACCGAUAGCGCAUAGUACUGUGAAGGAAAGGUGAAAAGGACCCCGGGAGGGGAGUGAAAGAGAACCUGAAACCAUAUGUUUACAAGCUGUGGAACAUCUUUAUAUGAUGAACCGCGUACUUUUUGUAGAACGGUCCGGCGAGUUACGCUGGCUGGCGAGGUUAAGGGCUGAAGGCCUGGAGCCGAAGGGAAACCGAGUCUGAACAGGGCGAAAUAGUCAGUCGGAGUAGACCCGAAACCGGGUGAUCUAUCCAUGUCCAGGUUGAAGUUGCCGUAAAAGGCAAUGGAGGACCGAACCCACAUCCGUUGAAAAGGGUGGGGAUGAGGUGUGGAUAGGGGAGAAAUUCCAAUCGAACCCGGAGAUAGCUGGUUCUCCUCGAAAUAGCUUUAGGGCUAGCCUCAUGCAAGUCUUACGGAGGUAGAGCACUGAAUUCCUAAGGGGGCGUCAAAGCUUACCAAGGGAUAUCAAACUCCGAAUGCCGUGUAGAUGGUGCAUGGGAGUCAGACUAUCCGAGAUAAGUUGGGUAGUCAAAAGGGAAAGAGCCCAGACCUACAGCUAAGGUCCCAAAAUGUGUGUUAAGUGGAAAAGGAUGUGGGAUUUCGAAGACAACUAGGAUGUUGGCUUAGAAGCAGCCAUCCAUUAAAAGAGUGCGUAAUAGCUCACUAGUCGAGAGGUCCUGCGCCGAAAAUGUCCGGGGCUGAAACACACUACCGAAGCUU
rnacentral:rRNA from 1 species